UACGUAGGGGGCAAGCGUUGUCCGGAAUCAUUGGGCGUAAAGCGCGCGUAGGCGGACCUGCAAGUCGGGGGUGAAAGCCCGAGGCUCAACCUCGGAACUGCCUUCGAUACUGCGGGUCUCGAGUCCGGGAGAGGUGAGUGGAAUUCCUAGUGUAGAGGUGAAAAUUCGUAGAUAUUAGGAAGAACACCAGUGGCGAAGGCGGCUCACUGGCCCGGUACUGACGCUGAGGCGCGAAAGCGUGGGGAGCAAACAGG
rnacentral:rRNA from 1 species